rnacentral:rRNA from 1 species
GAUGAACGCUGGCGGCGUGCCUAAUACAUGCGAGUCGAGCGAACAGACGAGAAGUUUGCUCCUCUGACGUUAGCGGCGCACGGGUGAGUAACACGUGUAUAACCUACCUAUAAUACUGGGAUAACUUCGGGAAACCGGAGCUAAUACCGUAUAAUAUAUUGAACCGCAUUGUUCAAUAGUGAAAUACGGGUUUGCUGUCACUUAUAGAUGUAUCCGCGCCGCAUUAGCUAGUUGGUACGGUAACGGCUUACCAAGGCGACGAGGCGUAGCCGAGCUGCGAGGGGGAGCGGCCACGCUGGAAUGGAGACACGGUCCAGACUCCUACGGGAGGCAGCAGUAGGGAAUCUUGCGCAAUGGGGGAAAGCUUGACGGAGCAACGACGCGUGAGUGAUGAAGGUCUUCGGAUGGUAAACCUCUGUUAUUUGGGAAGAACAAAUGUGUAAGUAACUAUGCACGUGUUGAGGGUACCGAAGCAGAAAGCCAGGGCAAACUACGU